rnacentral:lncRNA from 1 species
CUUUAGCCAACACCUGCAGGCCUGUCCCUGCCUUUCCUCUUUCUGUGGAAACCGAAUUCACCGCAUUCCAAUCACGGGAAGACAAGCAAGGACCACCCUUUUAAUCUAGUUUACUUCCAUCAGAGAAGGGGAGUGGUUGUUGUGUUGUUUCUUCUUGGAGGAGGGCGUAAGGGGCUGUGUAGCUGUGAAACAUUGAAGGAAAAGAAAAAUCUUCCAGGAAAAGUCAUGCCUAAUACCAUUGACACAAUUUUGGAGAUAAGAAGAUUCAGAGAUUGGAGAAGCAGUAUUUGAAAGCUCAGCAAAGUCUUUUUGCAGGGCACAUCAGUCAGCAAAAAAAGUUCACAAAAAGACCAAGAGCAUAAGAUACAAGGGUAAGGGUAAGUUGUUAUAGCCAGUGGCUUUCAGACUUACAGUGAAAUAAACUAAUACUAGAAAACUUUCUCUGUGGCA